AAAAUCAUUACGCGUGGUGUGUUCCGUCUUGUCGGUCGUGUAUGGUCGUUUUGUGGUUUCCGAAACACAAAACUACAGGUUGUUUGUCUGCGUUUUGUAUAACUUGUUCAGGUUUCUUCCUGUCCGUGUCAUGUUGCCCAAUACAGGGUGACAUUUCGUCGGUAUUCCGGUGUUGUCUGUGUGGGUGUUCGUGUUGUUGAUUUUUGUCACGUCCAAAAAACGUGUGUUGCAGUCUUUCUGUCAUGUCUGUGGUCCGUUUGUUUUGUACUAGGGUUCUACUACACUACAUUGUUCACAUGAUCUUAUUUGAUCGGGUUCAUGUACUAUACUGUUCAUGAACCCGAAGUGAUGAUAUCUCGGGAUGCUGUGAGCUUUAAUAUCUAGCAAUGAACAGCUCCUUUUAGUUGAGAAACUAAAAUCUACUGGAUAUGAUGACACUGAACGGAUAGAUGACCAUCAUUUAUUUUGUUGUAGCUUUGUGCUAUGACGAGUCAAUGAUAUAUGGUUAAAUCAUUCCUGCCUGAUCCAGUACUUCCAGCA